CGUUGACGUGCAGUCCCAGUGUUUUACAUAAUCAGUGUUUAAAAAGUGCUCUAAGUAGAUCGUUUCUUUUCUCAAAUGCCAGGCUGUGUAGGAUCAGUACCAGGCCCUCCUUGGUUUUUGAAAACGAAGAUACAGAUCCUCUAGUCUUCAGUGGAUUGGAUGAGGCUGACCUGCAUCGGUGAGGGCACUCUGGUUUACUUACUCUACUGAAUCAAAUGUUAAUUUCAUCCAGAAACACCCAUUCCAGACCCACCUAUGAUAGUGCUCCUCAAACACAUCAUUAUGUCCCACUCCUUCACUUGUGGUCUAGGCUGUGGUGGAGACAUUAGACAACUUUAUGUCCAUGGAUUUGGAGAAUGUGCAUAUGUUGUGCUACUACAUCUUAAAGAUAGUUGAAGUAUGAAAUGUAAGACUGCUGCCACAUUACCCUUAUCACACUCUCUUACUCCCUGUGAAUGGAAUGUACCAGACCAUUUUCUCUGAGAACCUCUGGUUGAAUUACAAUCACACAAGCUGCAAUGAAUGCUGCCAUCUCCUGGUACCUUUUGAAGAGAUGA